GGCACAGUGCUGUGGGAGUCAUGGCAAAGCUCACUUCUUACUGGCAAUUUGCAAAGCUUUCCCUUUGAGAUCAGCCUUGUGAGUAGGGAGAAAUGGGGUUAUGGGCAUAUAUUUCAGAUGCUAGGGAUGGCAGAAAACUGUUUCCAUCCUAUUUUUUCCUUGUCGUGCCCAGUGGAAGCCAACGGCCAACAGAGGGAAUGAAAAACUCUCUUUAAAGUGAUCCACAGUUCCAGAUCAGCCCUCUCCACCUUGACAGAUGGGAUUAUCCUCGUCUCCCUUCUCCUCCGGCAACUGAAAUACCAAUGAGACAUUAGUCUCCUUGCUUCUGACUUUCUCCUCAGGAACAUUCACAGGAGGUAACAUGGAGACAAAGUUUGGAGCAGAGACUGAAGGAAAGGCUAUCCAGAGACUGUCACACCUGGAGAUCCAGCCCAUAUACAGCCACCAAACCCAGAAAAUAUUGCUGAUGCCAAGAAGUGCAUGCUGACAGGAGCCUGAUAUAGCUGUCUCCUGAGGCUCUGCCAGAACAUGACAAAUACAGAGGCGGAUGCUCUCAACCAACCAUUGAAAGAAGAAUGGAUUCCCCAAUGGAGGAGUUAGAGAAAGGAUUGAAGGAGCUGAAGGGGUUUGCAACCCCAUAAGAACAACAAUACCAACCAACCAGAGCUCCCAGGGACUAAACCACCAUUUAAAGAGUUCACAUGGACAGAUCUAUGGCUCCAGCUGCAUAUGUAGCAGAGGAUCAAUGUGAGGAGAAGCCCUUGGCCCUACCAAGGCUUUAAGCCCCAGUGUAGGGGAGUGUCAGGGCAGGGAGGCAGGAAGAGGAGGAUGGGUGAGUGGGGGAGCACCUUCAUAGAAGCAGGGGGGAAGGGGAGAUGGGAUGGGAGGAUUAUUACGGGAACCGGAAAGGAGAUAACAUUUUGAAUGUAAAUUUUUAAAAAUCCAAUAAAAAUAAAUUAAGGAAAAAAAAAAA